AUGAAUUACUUGAUGAACUGGCAGGAUCAAAAAUGUUGUCCAAGCUGGACCUUAGGGCAGGUUAAUUAUCACCAAAUCCGUAUGCAUGAACCAGAUGAGGAGAAGACUGCGUUCAAGACACAUUCAGGACACUUUCAAUUUCGUGUUAUGCCAUUUGGGGUGACCAAUGGACCACCAACAUUUCAGUGCUUAAUGAAUAGCAUCUUUGCUCCAGCUAAUCGCAAGUAUGUCAUCACAUUUCUAGACAACAUUCUAGUUUUCAGCACCACUUGGGAGGAACAUGUGGAGCAUCUUCGCCUGUUUGUGAAGAUUUCCAAAUGCUCUUUCGCUCAGACUGAAAUCCAAUAUUUGGGUCAUGUGACACAGAGAAGACUAUGGCGAUGGAACAUUGGCCUCAACCUACCAACGCUACCGAAUUGCGUGGGUUCCUUGGGUUGA
rnacentral:rRNA from 1 species